rnacentral:lncRNA from 1 species
CUGCUGUUGUGCAUGUGUGGCAAGUUGUUCUUCCACAGCUGCUGUUUUAUGCACGUGUGGCUUAUCAGUCAAAGUGAAAGGUGAAGUGAGGACGCACACAGUCCCUCAUUGGAAAAUAGAAUAAGGCUUCCAUCUGGUGGUCAAUGAUAAUCAGUGAGUUUGAGACAAAACUUUGGCAUAUUAUCAUGUAACUUUUAUGCAAAAUAUCAAUAUGUCCCAUGUGUUAUUUAGUUAGACUGGUGAAAUUAAAGGUGGCCUAACAUUACGUUUCCUCAUUGAAAAAGCGUUAUACUGUAUGGAUAGUUUAGGACCUGGUCUUCAAUAAUGAGUUUGUGAGCCAAGUACUGUAUUUGAAACGGUUUAAUUCAAGAAUAUGUACGAAACAUCAAGCUAUUUCAUUUUGAAGGAAUUCAUUCAUUCAGUGGGUGUGGCUUGAUCCGAGGGUUUUGAAUAUAAUCCUUUGAAAUCGAAAGUAGGAAAGUUUGAGGAAAUAGAGAAGUGUCCAACGACGGACCUUUUACUUUAAACAAUACGCGCAACCGUUCGCUCAAAAUGUCGAAAUCGUCCGUAAUGAAAAUAAAACGCGUGAACGCAGUAAAGGAGGAUGAUCUCAACCUCCCAGACCUGUCCACUCUCCAAGCCCCUCUGACACUCCCCAUACCGACCCUCCCACUGCGGAGGAUGAGGUGACUGACUAUCAUGCUCUUCUAACCAGAUACAUGUGUUGCAUCCCAAUGGCACCCUGUGCACUACUAUUGGGUCUGGUCAAAGUAGUGCACUCUAUAGGUAGUAGGGAAUGCUGACCAUAUAUUAAUCAACAGGAUUAAUAACUUGACUGAGACCUCUGGUUCCCUUGGUGGACAUCUUAUCCUCACAUCAUGGCCUCCACCUUACUGUCUUAUGUGAAGAUCUCUGCUUUACCUCAGUUCCUGUGAGUGGGCGUCUCCAGUUGGUUUUUGGCUACAGACAGACUGACUGAUGGCUAUGACAAUAGACUGACUGACUGACUGACUGAUGGCUAUGACAAUAGACUGACUGACUGACUGACUGAUGGCUAUGACAAUGACUGACUGACUAACUGAUGGCUAUGACAUAAU